rnacentral:lncRNA from 1 species
UCCCACAAUGCACUCCCGCAGCUGCCCUGGUCUGUCAAUGCUCAGACAAGGUGGUGUAUUCUUCCAUUCAACAAAUAUUUCUUGAGUGCCUGCCAUGACAAGUCCUGGGUUCUGCAUGAUUGGGAAUGAGAUCUACACACUGCCUGCCUCAGGGAGCUCUCAGUUGAGUGUCACUAAGUGAAUACCUGAAGUGAAGUUGCUGGAUCAGGGUGCAGUCAGCUUCUUCUGGACCACACGACUGAAGUGGGUGACAGAUGGUUUCUCAAGGAAGAUUGGGUGUUAUCAUCAGAAGGGAGAUGGAAGACGGAACGAAUCAGCUCUACCUCUCAGGAUUGGUGGGAGGAUCCAGUGGACUCCUGUAUGUCAUAUACAGGCACAGGGCACCCCUGCAACAAACGGUGACAAUGAUGAUGAUGAAGGAGAAGAAAGAACCAGCCACGGGGGAGCAAAUGACCAGCCGAGUCCUGUUCCUUGGGGCGCUCUGGGCUUGGCCUGUGCGUGGGGCCGUGUGCUCAGGCUGGGCAGAUGCAGGCAAGGGGAGGCCAGGAUGGAGUGCAGAGGCCAAGGGCAACAUCAGCCCCAUCAGCCUGGACUUGAGCUCUUCUGGCCCCAGUGGGCUCAGGGAACCCCAAACGAACACGUCAUCCCGUCAUCCAUACUGAAGCUACCCACAAUAAGGGAGGCUGGGGCUCUGGGUCAUGCCAGAGGGCCCCAGAAAGUGAGACUGUGCCAAUGCUGCCCUUAGUAGAUCCCCUCCGAACCUCAGGUUCCCCAUCGGUUAAGGGAUUCUGGUCAGGCUCUAUGGGGGC